rnacentral:lncRNA from 1 species
CUCUUAGCUGGUUUGGCAUGUGCAGGAAAGUGGGUCUUCUUCAGAAGGUGCUGGACAGACAAACAGUUAUUUUUCAAUGGACAUUUCCACACUUAACAAAAAAACCCCACUUUCGUUCAAAUUUUUGCCUCAGAAGUCAUUUAGCUUGAUCUUGCCUUAUUUUGCUUGCUAGAAAUAAUGACAAAAUAAGUUAUUAAUGAAAGAGACAUGGAGGCAGAAUUUCCCAUGACAGUAAAUCACUGUUACACAGCUCUCAUUGUCCAGCAGCACGCACUCAAAAUGUGACUAGUCCCGACUGCUUGGGGCUGUUGAUUUUGUGUAUGAGAAUUUCCUGUAAUAGCUUGGGGGCCUGCAUACAGCCAGUCCCUGGCAUGGCACGUUUGCCAGCAAGCCUCUUUCCAAUUUACCAAGGGAAAACCUGGGAUCCAUGGCAGACUGGGAAAGAGCUCAGAAAUUCCUCCCCAGAGCUGCAUUUCUGCGUGCGGCCAUGCAGCGGCACAGGAGACCAGGAAUCUGCGGGACGGGGUGAGCGAGAGGCAGGAGCUGCUCAGGUGCGGGGCUGGCAGAUGUACCCACAUCUACUUCCCACUGUGGCUGUGCAAGUUACAUGUCUGCAUUCUGCUCUGCCUCAGCUGAACUCUGCUGCAGAUGAAGGAGGAAGGUGUCCUCAUGAGAAGGAACAAAGAUGACAGCAGUUUAAUUUCUAAUUAAUUAAUCCAUCAUGAUUAACACCUGAUAUUGAAGCAGUUGUGUUUAGUCUCUGCUGAGUGUCUGAUCCAAAGACAGCUGCAGCCAGUGUUGCAAGGGAGAAUGAUCCCAACUGGGUACUCCAGUGGAGAUGGGGUCCCAGUGUUUUAGCAGUGGAGCCUCCUCCGGAUGUGCAGGGUGGCACCUGCCCUCACCCUUCUCCAUGCUGCUUGCUGCCCAGCUCCAUAGCAGGAAAGCAGGGAGAUAGGCUAAAGGGAAAUCUGGCUGGGACAAAAAAUUAAAAGGAGGCUUCUCUUUGCAUCUUGCUACUCGUAAAAUAUAAAAGUGUGAGCUGAAAGCAGGCGUAGCCCUACUGGACUCAAGGUAAUGCAAAAUUUGAAUCAAGUUAUUCCUUUGCAGUGUACAGUUUGUCUUGGCUGCACUCACGCUGAAGCUGAUCAGGAAUUUUUCCACUGCAUUUUAUCUUCCGUAGGACUGUAAGGUACAUCAGCUGCAGUUUAGAUUUGGAAAAAUGAAUGACUGACAAAGCAUUGUUGUCAUGAGCUUACUUCUUCCCAUAAACCAAAGUGGCACAGUUAGCAGCAUGCAUAUGUGCCUCAGGAUGCCAUUUGGAAUGUGACAUGCCUCCUGGCUGGCUCUCACCCACAGCACACUGGGGUUUACAUUUGCUUUCCUGAAUCUUAGAUUUCUGCAGAUGCCCCAGAAAUGUUCUGAUUCACUGUCCCUGUGGCACUUGCUGGUUGGUGAGCAGCCAACAUCAGACACUUGUGGUAGAAUAUGGUAUUUACUUUGAUGAAUUAAUAAAUUAUAUAGCUGACCUAAUAUCUUCGAAUAU